rnacentral:rRNA from 1 species
GACGAACGCUGGCGGCGUGCUUAACACAUGCAAGUCGAGCGGUAAGGCCCUUCGGGGUACACGAGCGGCGAACGGGUGAGUAACACGUGGGUGACCUGCCUCUAGCUCUGGGAUAAGCCUGGGAAACUGGGUCUAAUACCGGAUAUGACUCCACGGCGCAUGUUGUGGGGUGGAAAGCCUUGUGUGGCUAGAGAUGGGCCCGCGGCCUAUCAGCUUGUUGGUGGGGUGANGGCCUACCAAGGCGACGACGGGUAGCCGGCCUGAGAGGCGACCGGCCACACUGGGACUGAGACACGGCCCAGACUCCUACGGGAGGCAGCAGUGGGGAAUCUUGCGCAAUGGGCGAAAGCCUGACGCAGCGACGCCGCGUGAGGGAUGACGGCC